UACGUAGGGACCGAGCGUUGUCCGGAUUCAUUGGGCGUAAAGAGCUCGUAGGCGGCUGCUCAAGUCGAAUGUGAAAACUCGAGGCUCAACCUCGAGCCUGCAUUCGAUACUGGGCGGCUAGAGUCUGGUAGGGGGAUCUGGAAUUCCUGGUGUAGCGGUGGAAUGCGCAGAUAUCAGGAAGAACACCUAUGGCGAAGGCAGCUCUCUGGGACGGUACUGACGCUGAGACGCGAAAGCGUGGGGAGCGAACAGG
rnacentral:rRNA from 1 species